AAUCCAUGUUGUGGGCAUCUCCGCAAAAGAUCCUUGAAGAACUCCCAUGUCUCAAACAAUUACUCUAGCUCCAUCUGCACAAAUGACGAUAUCUCAUUGUGAAGCU